CGUGUGGUGUCUGGCUCAGGAUCAGAUAGCGACACGGCCUACUGACAGAGGU
rfam:Oceanimonas sp. GK1, complete genome.